UAAAACUUAUUUACACACCAGUUUCCUUUUAUUUUUGGACACCGUGUAUCUACACCACAGAAUACAGAAUUAUUAUUUAGUUGGUAUCCCUGGUGUCGAUACGGUAGUAUUCUGCAGUCGGCUAUGCCGUUGCCUCGGGUUGCGGUAAAAGGGCAAUGGCGGCGAUCUCAGGUGUCGAGAUGUCGGAGCUGAUCGCCUCGGCUCAGCGGUACUCUAAUUUGGCGGUAGCUGUAAGUUUAUCGAUUAGCGGAUUUUUAUCCGGGAGUUGGUGAAUGACACCAGCACUUCCGAAUACUCGGCCCGUCAGUGCGGUAUGGUACUUAUGCUAGAGGUGGUACACAGGAUGUGACACGGCCACUACCCCCGUACACCACGCUCGAGGUUGAAGCAGAAUCAACGGUCGCAAACUGGAGGAAUGCAGGUCGAAGGCCCCACAGUUCCCAGUUCCCGUACUUUGACUCGCCUCGUAUCUAAGGGACUGGUGAUAGUAUGGUAACGAAAAGCAAGAUGUGACACGGCCACUACCUCCGCUUAACGUUCACAACCUUACGACUAAAUCAAGCAAGCGGGAGCUGGCUACAUGCGGGUCACAGGCCCCACAGGUAUCGAACUUCCGGGUGUUUGAGGGUUCGUCUUUCAAGGACUGGAUGAUUUCUAAUGAAUGGCGAGGUUAAGGGUGCAGGGACAGGUGGGUUAAGGAUAUAAGCGGAACGGAAACGGUAUCGAAUGCAAACGGGAAAUCGGAUGAAUGAUUAUCAGUUUCAGGUCUGGAUUCAGGUUUUCGGUCAUCAAAUGACAGGAUAGAAGUGUCUUCUAAACUCAAGGGAUCCUCCUUUUAUACAGCCAUGAUUAGGACUACGACUAGGAAGUGGAAAUGACACUUGAUUAUGUUAUCAUUAAUGAUUAGUUAGCGACAUCUAUUGAUGUCAAUGUAGUGCAUUUGUAAAGGAGCGUUUACACGCUCCCAUAAAUAAAGGCACGGGUACAUUGUUACCUUA